GACAGAGGCCCCAAGCGUUAGGCGGAAUCACUGGGCUUAAAGCGUGUGUAGGCGGACGCCUAAGUGUCUUGUGAAAUCCCACGGCUCACCCGUGGAGCUGCUGGGCAUACUGGCGAUCUUGGGCCAACUAGGGGCAACUGGAACAAGCGGUGGAGCGGUGAAAUGCGUAGAUAUCGCUUGGAACGCCGAAGGUGAAAACAGGUUGCUGGGGUUGUGCCGACGCUGAGACACGAAAGCCAGGGGAGCAAACGGG
rnacentral:rRNA from 1 species